rnacentral:rRNA from 1 species
GAAAAAGAAAAUGAUUAUAUUAGAAAUAACUAUUUACUGUUUUAGUAUUAUAUAAAGAAAUAAUGAUUUAAAUUAUAGAGAAUUAUGUAUUGUAAAAGAAUUUUGAAAUAAGUGAAAAAUUAAUAUGUUGAAAGAAAACUUUAUUUGUUGUACCUUGUGUAUCAGGGUUUAUUAAAUAAAAAUUUUUUAUAAAAAUUUCUUGAAAUAAAAGGAUUUAAUUGGAUAUAAUAGUUAAUGUAUCAAAAUUAUUAUUAAUAUUUAAUUUGUAAUAAAAUGUUAUUCGUCUUUUUUGAUAUCUAGUUCUUUAAGAAAUGAAUUUAAUUCAGCUAUUUUUAUAUACGGAUUUAUUUUAUAAAUUAUUUGUAAAAAAAUGGUAAUAUCUAAUGGGAUGAGCUGUUGGAUAAAUUUUUAAAAAUAUAAAUUUUAUUGAGGUAUUUAUAUGCUUAUAAAUAGCAAUUAAUUUGGAUUAUGUUAUAAUUUAUACUUGUGUAUUAUAUUAUUUACUAUAUUUUAAAUUUAUAUUAAAGUUUAGAAUUUAAUUGAAAAAUUGUAGAAAUAAUGAUGGAAUUAGUAUAUUAUGUUGUUAAGAUAAUAUUUUAUUUGAUAGAUUAAAAUAAGGAAUUCGGCAAAUUAUAUAUUCGCCUGUUUAACAAAAACAUGUCUUUUUGAAUUUAAUAUAAAGUCUAAUCUGCCCACUGAUAAAUAUUGAAUGGCCGCAGAAUUUUAACUGUGCAAAGGUAGCAUAAUCAUUAGUUUUUUAAUUGGGGACUUGUAUGAAUGAUUGGACGAGAUAUAUACUGUCUCAUAUCAUAAUUUAUAGAAUUUUAUUUUUUAGUCAAAAAGCUAGAAUGAUUUUGAAAGACGAGAAGACCCUAUAGAUCUUUAUAUUAUAUGUAUUUAUUUUUUUUGUGGAUUAUUUAUGAAUUAAUUGUUUAUAAUAUUUUAUUGGGGCGAUAUUGAAAUUUAUUUAACUUUCAGUUGUAAAUUACAUAGAUUAAUGAAUUUUUGAUCCAGUAUUAUUGAUUAAAAAUUUAAGUUACCUUAGGGAUAACAGCGUAAUUGUUUCGGAGAGUUCAUAUCGAUGAAAUAGAUUGCGACCUCGAUGUUGGAUUAAGAUUAAUUUUAGGCGUAGCAGUUUAAAGUAUUGAGUCUGUUCGACUCUUAAUUUCUUACAUGAUCUGAGUUCAGACCGGCGUGAGCCAGGUUGGUUUCUAUCUUUAAAUUUAUAUUGACAUUUUAGUACGAAAGGACCAAGUGUUAAAAAUAAAGAUUUUUUGAAAAUGAAUACUGAUAAUA